UACGUAGGGUGCAAGCGUUGUCCGGAAUUAUUGGGCGUAAAGAGCUCGUAGGCGGUUCGUCACGUCGGCUGUGAAAACCUGAGGCUCAACCUCAGGCCUGCAGUCGAUACGGGCGGACUUGAGUACUGCAGGGGAGACUGGAAUUCCUGGUGUAGCGGUGAAAUGCGCAGAUAUCAGGAGGAACACCGGUGGCGAAGGCGGUUCUCUGGGCCUGUACUGACGCUGAGGAGCGAAAGCGUGGGGAGCAAACAGG
rnacentral:rRNA from 1 species